rnacentral:rRNA from 1 species
UCGCUACAACCGAUUGAGCGACUAAGUGAGGGUUUUGGAAUCUCGACGUUGACGCUUUGUCUCGUUGGGGUGAAGACUCCCAAACUUCGCCGCUUAGAGGAUGUAAAAGUCGUAA